CCUCUCGCCGCUUGCCUCGCCCAGCGCAGCCCCGGCCGCUGGGCGCACCCGUCCCGUUCGUCCCCGGACGUUGCUCUCUACCCCGGGAACGUCGAGACUGGAGCGCCCGAACUGAGCCACCUUCGCGGACCCCGAGAGCGGCGGCGCGACUCACCGCGGAGGCGCCCGGACGCGUCAAUGUCCCCCAGGGCAAGGCCUGAACCAGGUCGCGAGGGUCUGUCUCCCGUCUGGGGAGCUGAACUGCCCGAGACACUGUCGCAGUCGCGGGGACUUGUCUGGAGCGGCGGGGUCUGAGCCCAAGUCGGAAGCCGCCGCCGCCGCCAGCGUCCCGUGCGCCUGCCGCCCCGGGACCAGCCGCGAAACUUCUUCUCGGGACGGAGACAGCGCUCGCCGCCCGGGCCGAGCCCCAGGGAUGCUCAGGAAAGCAGCCUUUCUUUAGGGCUGUCAUCUGUUCUGGGGAUCUGUUGCUGUUUCUUGGGCCCACAGAAUACACUCCACACCUCGGGACUCCAUAAUAUUGGACAAGGCUGGAAGGCCCAUUUGGCUCCUGCAGCCUCUUAUGCAGGAGGACCUCCUGAGGCUUCGGGCAGGAGCUGGUGCACACCUGGAGGAGAGUGCUGGUGAAUGGCAGGUGUGUGCCUCAGUGUCCUUGCUGCCAGGGUGUCAGCCCUGCUUCACCACUGGCCGUUUGUCUCUGUCCCCUCCACUGGCCUCUUGAAGCACAGAGACCCUCCGGGUACUUUCCUUCCUCUGGGCUUCCACUCAUGCUAUUCCCUGCUCCCUUUUUCUACCUGGAGACCCCCAUUCCUCCUCCUCCUCUGCUGCCCUCACCUCCACCUGGGCCCUCCCAGCUCCCGGGAGAUGGCUGAACCCCACUCCCCACCCGCUAGUCAUCCUCUUCAGCGGUCCUCCCAGAGCUGUCCUCAGCAUGGCAGCCUCCACAGCCCCUGGGUGUCACCCCCGGUUUCGUGUCUGCCUCGGACUCCAGACCUGCCCCUCCCAGGCUGGCCCAGAUGGAUCCUCUACAGUGACUAACCCAAACCAGCACCAGGCAGGGACCCAAUAAACCUUUGUGAAUG
rnacentral:lncRNA from 1 species